GUAAACGCUGGCGGCGUGCCUAAUACAUGCUGUCGAGCGAACAGACGAGGAGCUUGCUCCUCUGACGUUAGCGGCGGACGGGUGAGUAACACGUGGAUAACCUACCUAUAAGACUGGGAUAACUUCGGGAAACCGGAGCUAAUACCGGAUAAUAUAUUGAACCGCAUGGUUCAAUAGUGAAAGACGGUUUUGCUGUCACUUAUAGAUGGAUCCGCGCCGCAUUAGCUAGUUGGUAAGGUAACGGCUUACCAAGGCAACGAUGCGUAGCCGACCUGAGAGGGUGAUCGGCCACACUGGAACUGAGACACGGUCCAAACUCCUACGGGGGGCAGAAAA
rnacentral:rRNA from 1 species